rnacentral:rRNA from 1 species
GACGAACGCUGGCGGCGUGCCUAAUACAUGCAAGUAGAACGCUGAAGGAGGAGCUUGCUCUUCUGGAUGAGUUGCGAACGGGUGAGUAACGCGUAGGUAACCUGCCUGGUAGCGGGGGAUAACUAUUGGAACUCGAUAGCUAAUACCGCAUAAGAGUAGAUGUCGCAUGACAUUUGCUUAAAAGGUGCAAUUGCAUCACUACCAGAUGGACCUGCGUUGUAUUAGCUAGUUGGUGAGGUAACGGCUCACCAAGGCAACGAUACAUAGCCGACCUGAGAGGGUGAUCGGCCACACUGGGACUGAGACACGGCCCAGACUCCUACGGGAGGCAGCGGUAGGGAAUCUUCGGCAAUGGACGGAAGUCUGACCGAGCAACGCCGCGUGAGUGAAGAA